CGCCAGCCGUUGUGAUGAUGUUAACAUUCUCUGGGUCUACACCAGUGGCCCUUUCUGCCUGCAUUUUUAUUACAACAUAGUCCUAACACUGCAUUUCACUGUUAGGCGCCUCCGUCCACUCCACUCCUGCGCAUUCCUCCCGGCUGUGUCUCCUGUCUUUUUUGGGUCCCUUUUGGAAAUGUGGGCUCCUCAGAGUAUCUGGAGCCACCUUCCCCCCAACACCUCCACCUCUAGGGGCCUGGUCCUUUGGGAGUGGGCAGGAUGAAAAGCACCAAGCACCCACGGAAGACAAUGACAUCAUGUGGGGCCAAGUCCGAUGUCCUCCAUCACACACCAUUGCCCAGCUUCCAUGGGCCUUGCAAGUUUAAGGGGAAAAAAAAUGGGAAGCCAUUUCUGAGAAA
rnacentral:lncRNA from 1 species